UGGGGAAUAUUGCACAAUGGGCGCAAGCCUGAUGCAGCCAUGCCGCGUGUGUGAAGAAGGCCUUCGGGUUGUAAAGCACUUUCAGCGGGGAGGAAGGCGGUGAGGUUAAUAACCUCACCGAUUGACGUUACCCGCAGAAGAAGCACCGGCUA
rnacentral:rRNA from 1 species